UUGAAGAGUUUGAUCAUGGCUCAGAUUGAACGCUGGCGGCAGGCCUAACACAUGCAAGUCGAACGGUAGCACAGAGAGCUUGCUCUCGGGUGACGAGUGGCGGACGGGUGAGUAAUGUCUGGGAAACUGCCUGAUGGAGGGGGAUAACUACUGGAAACGGUAGCUAAUACCGCAUAACGUCGCAAGACCAAAGAGGGGGACCUUCGGGCCUCUUGCCAUCAGAUGUGCCCAGAUGGGAUUAGCUAGUAGGUGGGGUAAUGGCUCACCUAGGCGACGAUCCCUAGCUGGUCUGAGAGGAUGACCAGCCACACUGGAACUGAGACACGGUCCAGACUCCUACGGGAGGCAGCAGUGGGGAAUAUUGCACAAUGGGCGCAAGCCUGAUGCAGCCAUGCCGCAUGUAUGAAGAAGGCCUUCGGGUUGUAAAGUACUUUCAGCGGGGAGGAAGGUGUUGUGGUUAAUAACCGCAGCAAUUGACGUUACCCGCAGAAGAAGCACCGGCUAACUCCGUGCCAGCAGCCGCGGUAAUACGGAGGGUGCAAGCGUUAAUCGGAAUUACUGGGCGUAAAGCGCACGCAGGCGGUCUGUCAAGUCGGAUGUGAAAUCCCCGGGCUCAACCUGGGAACUGCAUUCGAAACUGGCAGGCUAGAGUCUUGUAGAGGGGGGUAGAAUUCCAGGUGUAGCGGUGAAAUGCGUAGAGAUCUGGAGGAAUACCGGUGGCGAAGGCGGCCCCCUGGACAAAGACUGACGCUCAGGUGCGAAAGCGUGGGGAGCAAACAGGAUUAGAUACCCUGGUAGUCCACGCCGUAAACGAUGUCGACUUGGAGGUUGUGCCCUUGAGGCGUGGCUUCCGGAGCUAACGCGUUAAGUCGACCGCCUGGGGAGUACGGCCGCAAGGUUAAAACUCAAAUGAAUUGACGGGGGCCCGCACAAGCGGUGGAGCAUGUGGUUUAAUUCGAUGCAACGCGAAGAACCUUACCUACUCUUGACAUCCAGAGAACUUUCCAGAGAUGGAUUGGUGCCUUCGGGAACUCUGAGACAGGUGCUGCAUGGCUGUCGUCAGCUCGUGUUGUGAAAUGUUGGGUUAAGUCCCGCAACGAGCGCAACCCUUAUCCUUUGUUGCCAGCGGUCCGGCCGGGAACUCAAAGGAGACUGCCAGUGAUAAACUGGAGGAAGGUGGGGAUGACGUCAAGUCAUCAUGGCCCUUACGAGUAGGGCUACACACGUGCUACAAUGGCGCAUACAAAGAGAAGCGACCUCGCGAGAGCAAGCGGACCUCAUAAAGUGCGUCGUAGUCCGGAUUGGAGUCUGCAACUCGACUCCAUGAAGUCGGAAUCGCUAGUAAUCGUAGAUCAGAAUGCUACGGUGAAUACGUUCCCGGGCCUUGUACACACCGCCCGUCACACCAUGGGAGUGGGUUGCAAAAGAAGUAGGUAGCUUAACCUUCGGGAGGGCGCUUACCACUUUGUGAUUCAUGACUGGGGUGAAGUCGUAACAAGGUAACCGUAGGGGAACCUGCGGUUGGAUCACCUCCUU
rnacentral:rRNA from 1 species